UCAUCUACACCCUCAAGCUCUGCUUGGUGUUGGGCGUCUGUCCCGCCUCCGUGCGUGGACUCGCCCCAAAGGCAUUGGCGACGGUCUUCACCACCUCUCGCGUAGCGCAAUACGCUUCUCGAGGCGGCGAGUUCCGUGACCACGAAGCCACGUUUACCGUCUUUGACCUCGGAUCAGGUAGGGAUACCCGCUGAACUUAA
rnacentral:misc_RNA from 1 species